UCCGUGUUAACCACGGCAGUCUCGUGUGAAAAUCAACACACGAUAAGGGUUGCGCUCGUUAACCCACUGAAGGGAACAUCUUACGACACGAGCUGACGGCAACCAUGCAGCACCUGUCCAGCGAUCUCGAAGCUCAUAGCGUUUCUGCCAUGAUACAGCUGGAUUUCUAAUCUAGGUAAGGUUCCUCGUUUAGCAUCGAAUUAAACCACACGCUCCACCGCUUGUGCGGGCCCCCGUCUAUUCCUUUGAGUUUUAGUCUUGCGACCGUACUACCCAGGCGGCAAACUUAACGCGUUAGCUUCGACACUGAAAGAGUCGAUUCUCCCAAUGCCUAGUUUGCAUCGUUUACGGCAUGGAUUA
rnacentral:misc_RNA from 1 species